CCAUCCGUCGCGGGAGACGUCGUGCAGUGCCCCGGCACACGCACGGCACCGAAGGAGCAACCUCCCCGUCAAUCUCUCAGGUCCAACACCGCCACGGGCAG
rnacentral:ncRNA from 2 species